rnacentral:rRNA from 1 species
UCGCCCCAUAGUCUGGGAUACCACUUGGAAACAGGUGCUAAUACCGGAUAAGAAAGCGGAUCGCAUGAUCAGCUUUUAAAAGGCGGCGUAAGCUGUCGCUAUGGGAUGGCCCCGCGGUGCAUUAGCUAGUUGGUAAGGUAAAGGCUUACCAAGGCGAUGAUGCAUAGCCGAGUUGAGAGACUGAUCGGCCACAUUGGGACUGAGACACGGCCCAAACUCCUACGGGAGGCAGCAGAU